GAUGAAGAACGCAGCUAAAUGCGAUAAGUAAUGUGAAUUGCAGAAUUCAGUGAAUCAUCGAAUCUUUGAACGCACAUUGCGCCCGCCAGUAUUCUGGCGGGCAUGCCUGUUCGAGCGUCAUUUCAACCCUCAAGCCCAGCUUGGUGUUGGGGAUCGGCACAGGCGCCCUCGGGCGCCCGCCGUCCCCUAAAUCUAGUGGCGGUCCCGCUGCAGCCUCCUCUGCGUAGUAGUUUUCUCCUCGCAAGGGCAGCUCGGUGGCGACCUCGCCGUAAAACCCCCAACUUCUGAAAGGUUGACCUCGAAUCAGGUAGGAAUACCCGCUGAACUUAAGCAUAUCAAUAAGCGGAGGA
rnacentral:misc_RNA from 1 species